rnacentral:rRNA from 1 species
AUGUGCUUGUACGGGUACCCGGACGGUAGUUGGGAGUUGACGCUGCCGGAGGAGAUGGUGCCGCCAGGCCUGCCAGUGCCGACACGAGGCAUCAACCGCCGGCGAGAUUAUAUGAACCGUUCUGACUACCUGAUACUCGUCGCCCACCACUCCGACUCGUGGCUCAUGGGCGUCACCUUUUUCUUGUCCACUUAUCUCGCCGCCAACCAAAGGACACGUUUAUUUGAUAUGGUAAACGAGAUGCGAACAACCAUGACGAAUUCUAUCUCUCUUAUGGUCUUCCUUGGCUAUCAACAUUUGUGCGUUACAAUGCAAACUGGGAGUCGAGCGCAUCAACUCAAGAGAAUGUGUUCAAUCCAGACGUAG